rnacentral:rRNA from 1 species
UGAGGAAUAUUGCACAAUGGGCGAAAGCCUGAUGCAGCAACGCCGCGUGAGGGACGAAGGCCUUCGGGUCGUAAACCUCUUUUCUAAGGGAAGAGCAAGGACGGUACCUUGGGAAUAAGUCUCGGCUAACUACGUGCCAGCAGCCGCGGUAAAACGUAGGAGGCGAGCGUUAUCCGGAUUUACUGGGCGUAAAGCGCGCGCAGGCGGGUCAGUGAGUCGGACGUGAAAGCUCCUGGCUUAACUGGGAGAGGCCGUUCGAUACUGCUGGGCUUGAGGUUGGGAGAGGGGUGCGGAAUUCCCGGUGUAGUGGUGGAAUGCGUAGAUAUCGGGAGGAACACCUGUGGCGAAAGCGGCACCCUGGCCCACACCUGACGCUGAGGUGCGAAAGCGUGGGUAGCAAACAGG